UACGAAGGGUGCAAACGUUGCUCGGAAUCAUUGGGCGUAAAGCGCACGUAGGCGGCUUGCCAAGUCGGACGUGAAAUCCCUCAGCUCAGCUGAGGACGUGCAUCCGAAACUGGCGAGCUUGAGUGCUGAAGAGGAUCGCGGAAUUCCCGGUGUAGAGGUGAAAUUCGUAGAUAUCGGGAGGAACACCAGUGGCGAAGGCGGCGAUCUGGGCAGACACUGACGCUGAGGUGCGAAAGCGUGGGGAGCAAACAGG
rnacentral:rRNA from 1 species